rnacentral:rRNA from 1 species
AGCGAACGUUAGCGGCGGGCCUAACACAUGCAAGUCGAACGGGCUGUAGCAAUACAGUCAGUGGCGCACGGGUGCGUAACGCGUAGAUAAGUCUACCUCUCAGUGGGGGGAUAACUAGGGGAAACUCUAGCUAAUACCGCAUAAGACCACGGAGUCUUCGGGGCUUUGAGGGAAAAGGCGGCCUCUGAAUAUGCUGUCGCUGGGAGAUGAGUCUGCGUCCCAUCAGCUAGUUGGUGAGGUAAUGGCUCACCAAGGCAAAGACGGGUAGCUGGUCUGAGAGGAUGAUCAGCCACACUGGCACUGGAACACGGGCCAGACUCCUACGGGAGGCAGCAGUGGGGAAUAUUGGGCAAUGGGCGGAAGCCUGACCCAGCCACGCCGCGUGAGUGAAGAAGGCCU